GAAAUGCGAUAAGUAAUGUGAAUUGCAGAAUUCAGUGUAUCAUCGAAUCUUUGAACGCACCUUGCGCUCCUUGGUAUUCCUUGGAGCAUGCCUGUUUGAGUAUCAUGAAAUCUUCAAAGUAAAUCUUUUGUUAACUCAAUUGGUUUCUACUUUGGUAUUGGAGGUCUUUGCAGCUUCACACCUGCUCCUCUUUGUUCAUUAGCUGGAUCUCAGUGUUAUGCUUGGUUCCACUCGGCGUGAUAAGUUAUCUAUCGCUGAGGACACUGUAAAAGGUGGCCAAGGUAAAUGCAGAUGUACCGCUUCUAAUAGUCCAUUGACUUGGACAAUACUUUUAUGAUCUGAUCUCAAAUCAGGUAGGACUACCCGCUGAACUUAAGC
rnacentral:misc_RNA from 1 species